GCUAGUAAUGGCAGGUCAGCAUACUGCCGUGAAUACGUUCCCGGGCCCUUGUACACACCGCCCGUCACACCAUGAGAGUUGGGGAUACCCGAAGCCUGUGAGCUAACUAUUUAUAGGAGCAGCAGUCGAAGGUAGAAUCAAUGAUUGGGGUGAAGUCGUAACAAGGUACC
rnacentral:rRNA from 1 species